ACAGUCUCCUCUUUCUUUUUUCUUCUGAUUUCCACCAUCUCCAUGAAGAAGACACUUCCACUUCGCCUCUUCUGAAGAACACUGAACGGAAAACUACAGAAAAUUUCUUUCUUGAUUCUUGCUCUACAGUUUUCAAUGAGCACUCUUCCCUCUCCUUCCAUCGUUUCCGCUCAAGAUUUUACAUGGUGGUCUCUGAUUAACCCAAACAAGAAACUCCAUAAAUCGAUUUCUUGAUUUCAAGAAUUGAAGGUGACAAUGGCAGAGGACCCUGAGGUUCUGAAAUUGCCAAUCCAAGAUUCACUCAAUUUCUUGCUUUUUCGCAGUCCUCAAGUACGUGGGUGGGGUUCACUGGAGUUUCUCAAAAAAUGACUCGUUAAUUCAUCAUCUUGUGUUCCUGGCUUCUUGGCAUUCAGAGAGGAAAAGGCGGAGACAGUGGAAGACGAUAAUGAGCAUGAGAGGAAGAAAGAGAUGGAAAGAGGUUGCGUAUUGAAGAGGGUGAGCUAAGUGAAAAGGAGGAGAAUGAGCAACAAGAAGCAAAGAAAAUUAGAAUUGAGGAGGGUGAACUUAGCGAUGAAGGAUUAUUGAGGGCUGUAAGAUCAUUAUCGUCGUCAUCUUUGUCAUCGGUUGAGCUGGAAAGUGAAAUUGAAGCUGCACCAUCACCUCCCAAAAAGAAUAAUACAGUUGCGGCAACAAUAAAAAUGAUGGAAAACGUAGCACUGAGAAUAGACAGUUGCCUUGGAGGAUUGAGUCGGGGAUGUUCAGUCGGAUUCCUCCUGAGUUGUUGUUUCACAUCCUCAAAUUUCUCUCUUCUGAGUUCCUUGUUUCUUGCUCAAUGGUUUGUAGAUUCCUAAAUUUUGCCUCUGAGGACGAAUCCUUGUGCCGUCGCCUAUAUUGUAUGCGGUGGGGUCUAUUGCCACCUAAAAAGCCGCGUGAAUGUGCUUGGAAGAAGCUUUACAUCCAGUAUGAUCACUUGGAAUUUCCUGGAGUUGUUCCUCGUACAUUUAUAGGUGCCCUGUCCGUAUCAAUUUUAGCCUCUCCAUUUGUCCUAGCAGCAAGUUUAUUACACUUGCCAAAAAUAUACAGCCUUUACGCAGGUGAUCAUGGUUAAUGCAGCCCCCUUUCUAUGGGUUUCAUUGUCAUGCCACUCUUGGUCCUUAUUGAAAUCUUUGGAAAGGUUGACAUUAGAGCAAAGGAAGCAUGGUUUAAGCUAAUAUCGGUCAUCGACUGAUGCAGUCGAAGUGGCGUAUCAUACGACACCAUUGAAGUUGAUAUCAACAAAAGUGUUCGCCCGACGAACCUAUCUUGCACUUGUUUCAUAGCGACGAACCUGUUUCAGAUUAUCUUCCGAAUAUGCCUAAUGGGUUUUAGAAGAUUUUUUUUUAAAUGUAAAUUAGCACUCGUUGUUUGUAGAAUUUCAGCAUUCUUUAUAUGAUAUGAAAGAUUGUACUUGUAUACCUAAAGCAAUAAAGACUGUUAUUCGUUUUAUGUCCAAAGAAGUAAAAUUUCUAACUUUCGUACA